CCUGAACCUCCUGGAUGAGGGAAUUUCUUUUCUGGCAUGUAACGUUUCUUUUCUCGGCCCAUGUGUCUGGAGUGCUAGUUAUUCUUCCCCUCCAGUCCCAAACAGCUUCUUUUCCUAUGGCUUCACUGACCUUUCGCUCUAAAAUCCUCAUGCUUGUGUUCACCUCUUCCCAUUCCCCCAUCUCUAUUGCAUCAUUAUGCGGGUUUGCAAACAUCAUCAUCUUCUUUCUGGCAUGACUCAGACUCCUGAUAACGUUCAUUUCUGGUUGCCUUAUUUAGGGAAAAUCAUCUUCUUCUUCUAGGCCAUAUUAGCAUGGGACACUCGUCCAUCUAUUACUCAGUAGCUCUUUAAUUUCAAAAUAUAGUCCUAAUCAAAAUUUUCUAGCUCUUUAUUUUACUUAUAUUUUGGGGGACUCAUCAGUUAUGAUUAAAUGGGUCAACUAGUAACAGAAAUCUAAGUAAUACUUGUAAACUAAAUAGAAUUAAUUUUCCCUUGAUGUAGAAGUCAAGAGGCUGGUGUUCCCUAAAGAGCAUUUCACAAUUUCUAUUAGUGCACCAUUCGAAAUAUGAUGUUACAGAAGGCUAACAGUCAAGAAUACUUCAGAUUUAUUCAGAAACUUUUAUGGAACAUCUUUGUGUGCCAGGAACUGUGCUAAUUGCUAAUAAUAUGAAUUUGAAAGGUACACAGGUCUUGUUUGGAAGAAACUUAUAGACAGACUAAAAAUGUAUUUAAGGACAAAGUAUGACAGUGAGGUAUAAUAAAUUCAACAAUGAGAUAAAUAAUAGGUAUAGGGUUGGCACAAGUACAAGGGAGUGGGUUGUUGUUUGGGUGGCUCAGGGAAGCUCAUACAGAUGGGAACUGUCUUUCAGAAUGAGUAGGAGUUUAUCAAAAGUGGAAACUAGGAAAAGGAUGGCAGUUCCAGUAGUGGAAAUAGCAGGUGCAAAGGCAUGGAGAUGUGAAACAGUAUGGCAUAUUCAAGUGGUUGUAAGUCGGUAGACACCUCUGAAAUGCAGAAUUUGUGUAGGUUGGUAGUAGAAACUGAGGUUGAAAAAGGAGUUUAUAUUUAGUUGUUACUCAAUGGAAAGCCUUACCUCACAGAAAAUUUAUUCUGCUUUCUGCAAGCAUUGUUUAAAAAGUCUUUUUUCCUUCUAUUUUUCUGUUGCUCCCUUCUAAUGCCAUUUCUCAUCCUUCAUAUUUUGCGUAAAUUUUGGAGCACAAAGCAUAAUCAUGAAUAAAAUAAUCUCUAUUGAAGCAAUGAUUAUUUGCUUAAGAGAUGUUUAUCUAGUUGGAGAAGAAUGAAAACCAACAAAAGCCAGAAAAUUCAUGGGUUUUUAAAACAAUUUGCUUUUGUUAAAAGGGGAAAUAUCUACUGAUGUGAGAAUUUGAAAUUCUAAGAGACUAAAAAAAAAAAAAAUCUAAAUAGUCUUUGUUCCUGUAAGUCCAUGGAUAGUUGAGAAUUGACCAUAUCGUGGGGGAGACAAUCAUUUUGUGUAUAUAGAUGUAUCUCAGUGCCUUACUUUUCUUUGUGAAAUGAACAAAAAACAAUGACAAAAAUCAACAAAACCAACAAAAUCAAUUAUUUUUUCUAGGAUACAUUAUUAUCUGGACCACUAGUCAGUUGUUAUAGACCAUUUCUGUUAUAUCUUAUGCCAUUAUUUACUUUCUAUCUGACAUUUGUGUAUAUUUUUAUCCUACAAUAAUAAAAAUAACAAUAAUAAUAGUAAAAAUAAUGAUAGAAUAUUGUGUCAUGUCAGAAUGUAUUGGACUUGAUGUCAGAAGAUUUGAAUUGAUAUAAAACUGAAUAUGCCACCUCCUAGAAGUGUGAGUCUACAUAAAGUGGCCUUACUUUUCCAAGCCUCAUUUUGACCCUUUGUGAAAUGGGGCUAUUCUUUCUGCACUGCUCAUUUCAUAGAGCAGAUAUGAGGAUCACAUUUGAUAAUAGAUCACCUGGCAGCCAUUAAUCUACUUUGUCUCUAACGAUUUGCCUACUAUGAACAUUUCAUAUUAUUGGAAUCAUACAAUAUGUGGCCUUUUGAAUCUAGCUGCUUUAACUGAACGUGGUGCUUUCAAGGGUCAUUCUUGCAGUACAUAUCAGUAUUUCAUUCUUUUGCAUACCUAAACAGUAUUCUCUUAUAUGGCUAUUUCACAUUUUGUUUAUUCAUUCCAUGAGUUCUUUAGUUUCAUCAAAGUGUUUUGUGGAUUCCUCUUCCUACUCCCCAGAAGAGAACAUUUCUGGUGGACAAAUUAGCCAUAUAUAAUGACUCAUAUAUUUAUAUUAAUUGGGAGAAAGGGGCUCAUUAGUAGAUACCAUACUGUGCUGGAAAUGGUCAAAAUCUAGGUUUCUUUUGUAGGCUUUACUUCCCCUGCCUCUUUUAUUAAACGUUGACUUCCUGCAUUCCACACUCUGAUGAUUGAUUGAUUGAUUGAUUGAUAUUGUGUCUCAAGUUAUACAUUUUCUCUGCAUAAGUAGAUCUCUUUGAACUAACCCCUUUCUACCUCUCAUCCUGGGUACAUGUGAGAUGUCCCAACCACACUGACCUUUUCAGUAUCUUGAAUACAAAACUGUUUCUCGUUUUGGGGUCUUCACAUAUGCUGUUCCCACUUGGGGUGAUUUUUCUUAGCUAACCCUUUAUCAGGCUUUCGUUUCAGUUUAAAUGCCCAUAUUUCAGAGAGGCUCUGACCAUCUCCUACUCCCCAACUCAGUCUAGAUUACAUGGCCCCUGCUAUUCCUUUUUAAUAGCACUCUACGCCUUUCCUUUCUGGAACUUAACGUAAAU
rnacentral:lncRNA from 1 species